rnacentral:lncRNA from 1 species
ACAGUCCCAUAAACCAACGGCGAAGAAGUUGUAGUGGUGGUGCUGGCAGCGGGAUUAGAAGUAUUCGGCAGAAUUCCAUUGGUGGGAGAGGUGUUUGAUCCCACGGCGGUGGUAGGGGCGGUGGGGUUGAGAGGUGAGGGUGGUGGUGGCUGUUGAGGGUGGUGAAAGUAAGAGCUCAGUUCACUACUUUCAUUAGGGUCCAUGAUAGUGCGUGUAGUGUGUGAGAUUUUGGAUUUGGGAAAUUUUUUAUUUUCUUUUCUUUUUUCCUGAUGAUUUUUGAGGUAUUUGUUUUAUUUUAGGGCUUUAUUGUUUUCGGGAAAUUUGUGCCUUUUGAACCGUUGAUUGUGGGGUUGGUGGUUUUUCUCAGCCGUUGGAUGCCGAGGAAGUUAUUUGACUUUAUCCGGAGACCUUUCUAGGUAUUGGAAUUGGGAUUUGAUAUGUCUACUGUAGAUUUGCCUGACGAUGGGGAUAUGUAUGGAUUUAAUGUGGAUAAACACGUUUAAAUCUUUUUCUUUUUCUUUUUCUUAUAUAUAUAUUUUAAGCUAAAGUUUGAGACCUUCUUAUUAGUUUGGGGAACAAGAAAACAAAAAAGAUUAGCCUGACAAGUUCGAAGUUUUUUUUUCCCUCAAAAGUAAAUAUUAGGUAUUUCAUUAUGUUCUCGAAUUGAUAAACUAUAUUAUAUAUAUACCUUACACGUAAGAACUUUGAUUAUCCAUGUGUCCAGUCACCAACCAGCUUUGAAAUUGUUUGUUUAUUUGGAAGAAAAAUAUUAUUUUGAGGAUGAAAGCGACAGAAACCUUCAAUAGUUAGGGAUUAAUUUUUGUUUUCUAAAUUUUUUCAAAUGAUGAUAGAUAAGAUGUUUAGUUAAAAACAUAUAGAAUUCAAAGGUCGAGACAAGUCCAAUUGAUUCCUUUCUAAAUUUUCAUAAGAUUACUACAAAAUCACUCGACUUUGAGGUGUCAAUAUAUCACUCUGUUCUUCGGACGGUAUGCAUAUUUGUGCCGAUUCUAGGAAUCUUUAUUCACAUUAGAAAAAGCAAGCAGUAAUUUGUGCAGACGAGAUAAGUAUUACCCCCUUAAUUUAACAAAAAAUUACCGCAAUUGAACUGUCAAAUUCCACGAAUUAUCAAAGAAGUUAACUUCCUUUCAUUCACUAACAGUUGCUUAUUCAUUUGUCUGUCCAAAUGGAGACUCCAAAAGUAACUUCAAAUUGCUCAAAGGAAAGAAUGGCAUCAAUCUUGCUUAGACAGAUACAAGGAGGGAUAAAGUCAUGUGAAUUAGUAGUAGAUGGCAAUCAUAAGGAUCCAACAUGGGACAGGAUACAAUUUCAAGUGGGAAAUGGGGCAGGGACGUCCCUUCACCGUUAAUGGUCCUGAUUUGGUCUCAAAAAUUUGUGCGGCUGAGAUUACAAGUUGUAACUCGAUUUUCACGUCACGUGUGGGUCCCAUAAAAAUUUGCUUUAAAGUUACGCAAUGUGCACAAAAAGUUACAUAAUGUACAAAGAAAAUUACGCGCAGUUGAUAAUGACCAAAACCGCCGGGGAUUUGUAAAAGUGGUAUUUGUAAAAGUGCCCCGAGUCCUUUCAAGUGGUAUUUGUAAAAGCCACAGUGGUCCAUCUGUAUUGGAAUUCGUCAUUACGCGAGGCUGAUUAUAAACGUUAUUAGCCAGCCUCGAAUCUAUUUCAGACACGUCAAGUUUUCCCCUGUGCCAAUUGAUUUGAUUGUCAUCAAAUUCUCAUUCAAAACCCUUUUUUUUUUUUCCCCAACCUAAUCCAUCCUAAAACGUAGAGGAAGAGGAAUUUAAAGAGGCUAUGGAUGAUAUGAAAACUUGUCUAAAUCAAAGAAAUAUUCUGACACCUUUUUAAUUUCUCAAAACUUGUGGGCGCCCCUUUAUGUCUCUUGUCAGCACGGUAAUCCUCCCCUAAUCAUUGCUAAAAUACUUUAAUUCUUACGUUACCCCGAAGGUGCGAGCAACCGUACU